ensembl:lncRNA
GAAAAAAUGUCCUGUCAUUUCCAAUCAGAUUUAGUUUGUAUAUUAUGGUAGAAUUUUGCAAGAAAAACAAAGAAGCUGUCAUCACAUCUAAUGGCUUGCUGAUGCUCAGAAUCCCCUUUGGAAUAAUAAUUACAUCCCUGUAUAUAUACUGAUGUAUCUCUGCUCUGCCUGCUCUCACUCUUGUGUCUACAUCAUGAAAUGUUACCUAUGAUUUAUGCCAAGCACCUAUAUCUCUCUGUGCUGUAUUGGUGGUUGCACAUUGGGCGUCCCACAGUUUCUGGCUCUGCUACUGGGCCCUGCUGAAUUUCCAGGCCAUUUUCAUGCAACAUUGCAAGUUGCCGCCGGGACAGUAUUUUGCCUUCAACUUCAAUGCCUGAGCUUAUACACUUCAGCAGAAGUUUCAAAUGUUACAGCAAAAUGUGCCGUAACUGCAUCAGUAGUCAAGGGAAGAGCCACCGAUGUCAUCUAUCUGGACUUCAGUAAGACCUUUGACACAGUCCCCCAUAACAUCCUUCUCUCCAAAUUGGAAGGAUAUGGAUUUGACAAGUGGACUGUUCAGUGGAUGAAAAACUGGUUACAAGAUUGUACCCAGAGAGUUGUGUUCAGUGGUUCGAUGUCUGGAUGGAGACCAGUGGCAAGUGGUGUCCCUCAGGAGUCAGUACUGGGACUAGUGCUCUUUAACAUCUUCAUCAAUGGCAUCAACAGUGGGAUCGAGUGUACUCUCAGCAAGGCUAUAGAUGAUACCAAGCUGUGUGAUGCAGUUGACACAUUCAAGGAACAGGAUGCCAGCCGGAGAAACCUAUGUAAGCCCAAGCAGUGGGCCCAGGUGAACCUCAUGAGGUUCAAUAAAUUGAAGUGCAAGGUCUUGCACCUGCAUUAUGGCAAAUCCUACUAUGGGAACAAGCUGGGGGAUAUAAGGAUGGUGCACAACUCUGCCAAAAAGGACUUGAGGUGGAUGGCAAGCUGGACAUAAGCCAGCAAUGUACCCUUGCAGCGCAGAAAGCCAACCAUAUCCUGAGCUGCAUGUACAAUAAACAAAUGUACAGUUGGAAGAAUAGCACAGUUAGGAUGGUACUUCACAGGUGUAUAGUUGGAAAGAUUAUCAUGGUGGAAAAGAGACAGUCAAAGAAGAAACGCUCACCCAUAUCCAAGAAUCCAGGCUCACAGUGGAAAACUCCAAAAAGGAGAGAUCUCCAGAAAGAGAUCCUUCCCCAGUGGAAGUCAGCCCUUAAAUUGAGUCUAGGAGAGGUGGAGCCAGGCUCCACCCCUUCCAGUCACUCAGGUGAAUUGCCUUCACUUGUGCUCCCACAGCUGACUCAGUCCUUUCCUCAGGUGCUCAAUCAGUGUUUCAGGCCGAACAGUUCCCAUCCACUCCACCCCUUCAUAGCAUGAACCAAUAAUCGAGCAAGCUAGAGGGUGAGCCUUCCCUAAUAAAGAUCCAGAGACACCACGAUGCUUAUACAAUUGCCUGUCGCCAUGCAGGUUGACACAAUUUAAGACGACUGAUGAUCAAUGUGUGGUUGAGGUUCAUGUUCUUUCAUGGGCCAGUGCUCGGUGGUGUUACUGGAAGUAUGCCAUCAUGUCGUGUAGGUCCAUCCUAUGUCACAUCAGUCCCACAUAGGCCAUCACCGGGUGUCGUGCUUGAUCUCACAGCAGCACUGGAACACUUCAAUGGUAUUUCGCUCCUUCUGUGAUCCUAGAGAUUCAAAUACUCACAGAGAGUAAUACAGAUGUUUCAGGGGUACCAGGAGGGGAAGAUCUGCCCUCCAGGGCAAGAUACAGGCCAUAUUCCUAUCCUGGGUCAACACUUCAGCUUGUACUGGGGCAUGCCCCAGCCGCCUCUACCAAACUCUUCGGCCAGAUGUCUGCAGCUGCAUAACUGUAUCAAAGGGGGUGUCCUGAUCUGACAUAGGGACAUGAUGGGGGGGUCCCUUUAGCAACGAAGAUUGGAGUGUUGACCACAAUAUCCAUAGGCCAUGUACCCAUUACCGGAGGGACUACCGAGCUUCCCACCUCCAGUAAUCUCCUCCAAGGUAGGAGGAGAUUGUGCAAGAAGGGCACACCACUUCGGUCCUACCUGUACCUACCAAGGCCAUUUUACUCUAUGGGUACCUGGUUCUAAAUUCUCAGGGGUAGGGACCAGAAGGUUAUUUUCAUUGCCAAUCUGGGGUUUUACCCAAUUAUCAGUGCCUGUAAUUUGGAUCCUAAGCGGGGAGGCCCAUGUUGUCUGUAGCAUUUUCAGGGCACUGGGUCUGCCAUCUUUAGGUCUUUCGUUCAGGUCCCACAGGGUUUCAUAGAGUCCCUUUGUCCACCCGUGCAGGGACUGUGAAUCUCUCUUCAGGGCAGCCUUAUGAAUACCGUUACGAUGUUCAAUGAGUCCUGCCCCUGUUGGAUUAUAUGGCAGGUGGAAUCACCAUCCAGUGUUGUUUUCUUCUGCCCAGUGUUGUAUCACGGUACCAGUAAAAUGAGUUCCUUGGUCACUCUCGAUGACUUGAGGUGUCCUGGAGGCAGACAGGAGCUCAGUAAGUGCUUGAUGGUAUAUGCCUGGUUUGCUCUUGGCACUGGAUAGGUCUGCAGUAGCCCACUUGCGGUAUCGAUGCAGGUCAGGGCAUAUCUCACCCCCUCAUACUGAGGGAGGGGCCCAAUAUAAUUGACCUGUCAUCGCUGGAGAGGAUUGUGUCCUCUAGCAAGAUGGGCUGUUGUUGCGGGCAGCAAUCUCAGUCUCAUCUUGGAGCAAGCGUCACAGUCUCAGCAUGCCUGGGUGAUGUCAGAUAGUUGCAUGGGCAGCUCCCAUGCUUUAGCAGCUGCCCAUAUUGUCUUUUGUCCAGCAUGCCAUAGCUUCUGAUGUAAUCAAUGGGUGAUGUUCUCAGAUGGUGAAUCCUCAGUCCAUCAAACUUGGGUUGGUGUGUCCGCUUCGUCAUUUCCUGGUGAUUGUAAAGGUUGAUGACCAGAAACAUGUUAGACACAUACAGUCCUGUGUUUAACUGCAUUCCAUAUGUCUAACCACAUAUCUCUGCCCAAGAUUGGUUGGGCAUGGAUAGUCCAUUCUUGGGUGGCCCACUGUGCAAUCCAAAGAGUGAGCCCCCAGUACACGGCCCAACUAUCUGUGCAGAUAUUCAGGACACUAUCACCAGAUUCCUUAGUUAUAACCAUCCACACGGCUUGCAGUUAUGCCCAUUGGCUGCUCUGACCAUCCGUCUCUUCAAACCAGACUGUCUCAGUGGAGGGAUGGUAUGCUACUGCUCUCCACUAACUCAGGUUGCUCUUGCUGGACCCAUCUGUGUGCCAGGCAUCUUCAGGAAUGGGAUAUUUCCCCUCCUGAAUGGGACUCUUCUCUGGUGGAGCAACCAAUGUGUCUUUUGGUGCCUCACUGUGAUAUGUCACUGGGCCUACAAUCUUCUGGAGUUCUUUCAGUGGUGAUGAAGAUAGACUAUUCCUCUGGCUAAGAUAGGCGACCCAUCACACCACCAUUUAUGCUUGGCCACCCUCGUCUUAGGAAUGUGAGUCAGAUCUUUCAUCCACCCCUGAAUUGGCAGGGUGUUCUUAACUAUGGAUUUGUCAAUAAUCCUCACCCCAAGUUUUGGGGGAUGAUUUUGAAAUUUUUGAUCGUCCUUCAACUGCCUCCAUAGCUGGAGGAGGACAUGAUUGGGCUGGUGAUCAAUUUUCGCAAAUUGAACCCCAGCCCGGAUUAAGCCAUUAAACAUUUGUUAUCAGGAUACCCGUAUGGGUCCUGAUUGAGGAGUUCAUAGGGUGGGUCUCCUGGUUUUAGUUACUAGAAGGACCUCUGCCCCUUCCAAUGUUCAGAUACUGCACCUGGUCCAAAGGCGCUCUGUCUCCCCUAGAUCGGCUACCAGCUGGGCAGCCUGUUGAACCACGGACUCUGAGGCUACUAGGGAGUUUAGUAUGGAAACUAGAGUUCCAUACAGAUGGGAAGGAGCCUGUUGCAGGAUCAGGUCUCUCAUGCCUAUUGAGAAUUUUACCAGGUGUGGGCUUUGAAAUGCGUCUUUGUAUAUCACCUCUCUUAUACUCAGUUCGUGAAUAUAGUUUUGAAGGUCUUCUGUGAAGGACCAUAAACCUGUGUGUAAUAGUAUGUCAGAUUUAUUGGCCAAACCAUAUGGCAUGCUGCCAUCAACCAAUCUAUUAUCGAGUGAUUCUUGUUGGUAUACUGGACAGCAGCAUAUAGCCCCUAAGGGCAGGGUGAACAGUAAUGGAUGCCAAUUUACAGAUUUCUGACCCACUGACCGUAACACUUUCCAUCCAUGAAUUCCAUCAUCGGAGAAGCCAGGCUGGUACGCUUUCUCUGGGCUUCCGUCUGAAUCACUGUACCAAGUCCAUUAAUUCCAUGGCCAUAUAAGGACAGGCUAUUACAUGUAAAUGUAUUUGGGCAGGGGGCCACUGAUCAGGGGGCACCCCUGCUGAUCUAUCUUGUAUUUUUUUGUUGUUGUUGUUGUUUGAGUUACUAUAGGACAGAUCUCAAAGGAAUCCAUUGCAGAUAGAGCUUUGAGAUCUGAUUUGGAAGCUUUGUCUUCUGGAUCCACUAGGUUAAUCAAUUCAGGAACCUGCGUAUCAUCUACUGCAAUGUUAUGGACCUGUUUUAUUGGGAAAUUUAGGCUGGAUUUUUUCCCCGUCAGUAUACCAAGUUGUUGUUCGAGUUUUUCAAUCUGAUCUCAUAACAGUAGAUUUUCACUUUCUAAAGUAUUGGUUGUCAUUUCAGCCUGAUUUAAAGCAAUUAAUAGUGGCCAUGCCACAGUAGAAGCAGCUAGCUGAUGUUCUUUUGUAACUAAUAUCCCUUCGCUCAAUCCAUGAGAAUAAUCUGCCAUGUGGGUUGGGGAAGGAGUAUUUCCUGUAACCUGCAGGGGACUCCAUUUUUCAAUUAUAGUCACCAGUUCAUAGUAAGGUGAUCCCAGAAAUCCUCAGAUCUGUCUGGGGAUUGUUUUGUCUAGGAGGAGGUAAUGUUCUCCCCCGCUGAACAAUUUAAAGAUAUUCUGAAGGAAAUACUUUUUUUUUUUUUGGCCUUCCUGGCUCACCAAAUGUAUAUUUGGAAGAGUAGUGCAGUGAGGAUGGUACUUUACAGGUGUUACAGUUGGAAAAAGUAUCAUGGUAGAAAAGAGACAAUCAAAGAAGAAAUGCUCACCUGUAUCCAAGGAUCUAGGCUCACAAUAAAAAACUCCAAAUGGAGCAAUCUCCAGAAAGAGAUCCUUCCCCCAGUCAGCCCUUAAGUGGGGUCUAGGAGAGGUGGAGCCAGGCUCCACCCCUCCUGGUCACACAGCUGAAUUGCCUUCACCUGUGCUCCCGCAGCUGACUCAGUCCUUUCCUAAGGUGAUCAAUCAGAGGUUCAGGAUGUGAUUCAGUUGUUCCCAUACAGUUGCAUCAAAGGAAGCAUGAUCAGCAGGUUGAGGGAGGUGAUCCUGCUCCUCUACUCUGUGUUGGUGAGGCCUCUGUAUUAUGUCCAGAUGUGGGAUCCUCAGGACAGACAUAGACCUGUUGGAGCGCAUCCAGAGGAGGGCCAAAAAAAUGAUCCAAGCAAUGAAACACCUUCCCUGUGAGAAUGGGCUGAGAGAGCUGGGGCUGUUCAGUCUGGAGAAGAGAAGGCUCUGAGGAGACUUGAUAAUGGCCUUUCAGUGUCUAAAAAGGGGCUAUAAGAAAGAAAAGGGCAGACUCUUUAGCAGGGUUUGUCGCGACAGGACAAAGGAAAAUGGUUUUAAAAUAAAGGAGAGAAAAUUCAGAUUGGAUAUAAGGAAAAAAUUUUACAAUAAGAAUGUUGAGGCAUUGGAACAGAUCACUCAGAGAGGUGGUAGAAGUCCUGUUCCUGGAGACAUUCAAAAUCAGGCUGGACCAGGCUCUGAGAAACCUGAUCUAGCUGUGGGUGUCCCUGUUCAUUGCAGGGAAGCUGGACUAGAUGUAGAAUGAUAUAAUCAAAAGAUUAUAUGAUUCUAUAAGUCAAUGAAGAUAAGGAGGGAUUUGUAAAGUAAGUUUCAAAAAAAUCACAGUGUUUUGUAGAAUCAUGGUAGUUAAUAGUGUGAGGCAUUUAGAGAACUAUGGUUGCGAGCAUCUCGGAAAUACAAAAUAGCAUUCCAUAGGAAAUGCAGGGAAAAAAAAUGAAAAUUUGAAGCUAGCUCCACCCUGCAACAAUUUAAAACAUAGUUGAAUAUUUAAAAAAAAAGUUUAGGCCUAGACUGUUAUUUCUGUUAUAAAAGUCAAAUCUUUGGAGAUGGAGAUGAUUAAUAAAUACACAAAAAUACAUUGUCUUUAAUAGACAAAAGCAAUACAUUGUUUUGAAAGAAUGUAAAAAAAACAAACAGCAUAAUCAAAAUGCUUUUAAAUUAGGGCUUUUCUUUCACCUUUCUUACUUUUUCUUUCCUUUCU